UGUUAAAAUUUUCAUAUAUUUUUAUUGUUAAAAAUUGACAUUAUUAAUUAAUUGACAUUACUAACAGAAUAAUCAGAUAGUAGCACAUGGCAUGUCAUGUGUGCCUCAUGCUGAUGUCUAGAGAUUAGUUUUUAACAAUAAAAAUUGAUGAAAAUUUUAAUA
rfam:Gossypium arboreum cultivar AKA8401 contig_71895_1, whole genome shotgun sequence.